UCAAAGGUAAGGUGGAAGACAGUAGGGAUCACUGUUUCAAAAGGUAGGGGAAGACAGUAGGGACACGUUUCAAAAGGUGAGGUGGAAGACAGCAGGGAUCACUGUUUCAAAAGGUGGAAGACAGUAGGGAUCACUGUUUCAAAGGGGGAGACAGUAGGACAUGUUUCAAAGGUGAGGUGGAAGACAGUAGGGAUCACUGUUUCAAAAGGUAAGGUGGAAGACAGUAGGAUCAUGUUUCAAAAGGUGAGGUGGAAGACGACAGGGAUCACUGUUUCAAAAGGUGGAAGACAGCAGGGAUCACUGUUUCAGAGUAGGUGGAAGACAGUAGGGAUCACUGUUCAAAAGGUGGAAGACAGCAGGGAUCACUGUUUCAAAAGGUGGAAGACAGUAGGGAUCACUGUUUCAAAAGGUGGAAGACAGUAGGGAUCACUGUUUCAAAAGGUGGAAGACAGUAGGGAUCACGUUUCAAAAGGUGAAGACAUCAGUGAUUCAACAAAUAAAUGAGAGAAGUUGUUAGUUUAAAGCUGGGGGGGGGGGUUCAUUAAAGGUGCACUACACUGUUAUCAUACUACUGUUGGUCUCCACCAUAGCAGGUGUCAGCCGAUGCCUAUUGAACAUCUGGACAACC
rnacentral:lncRNA from 1 species